GACGGAGGAUGCAAGUGUUAUCCGGAAUCACUGGGCGUAAAGCGUCUGUAGGUGGUUUAAAAAGUCCACUGUUAAAAAAUUGAAGCUUAACUUCAAAGAUGCCGUGGAAACUUUUAAACUUGAGUAUGAUAGGGGUAGAGGGAAUUUCCAGUGGAGCGGUGAAAUGCGUAGAUAUUGGAAAAGACCACCAAUGGCGAAGGCACUCUACUGGGCCAUUACUGACACUGAGAGACGAAAGCUAGGGGAGCGAAUGGGA
rnacentral:rRNA from 1 species